CAGCAGCCACGGUAAUACGUAGGGUGCAAGCGUUAAUCGGAAUUACUGGGCGUAAAGCGUGCGCAGGCGGUUUUGUAAGACAGAGGUGAAAUCCCCGGGCUCAACCUGGGAACUGCCUUUGUGACUGCAAGGCUGGAGUGCGGCAGAGGGGGAUGGAAUUCCGCGUGUAGCAGUGAAAUGCGUAGAUAUGCGGAGGAACACCGAUGGCGAAGGCAGCCCCCUGGGCCAAUACUGACGCUCAUGCACGAAAGCGUGGGGAGCAAACAGGAUUAGAUACCCCGGUAGUCCCUGUCUCUUAUAC
rnacentral:rRNA from 1 species